rnacentral:rRNA from 1 species
UGGGGAAUAUUGCACAAUGGGGGAAACCCUGAUGCAGCGACGCCGCGUGAAGGAAGAAGUAUCUCGGUAUGUAAACUUCUAUCAGCAGGGAAGAAAAUGACGGUACCUGACUAAGAAGCCCCGGCUAACUACGUGCCAGCAGCCGCGGUAAUACGUAGGGGGCAAGCGUUAUCCGGAUUUACUGGGUGUAAAGGGAGCGUAGACGGAGCAGCAAGUCUGAUGUGAAAGGCAGGGGCUCAACCCCUGGACUGCAUUGGAAAACUGUCAGGCUGGAGUGUCGGAGAGGUAAGUGGAAUUCCUAGUGUAGCGGUGAAAAUGCGUAGAUAUUAGGAGGAACACCAGUGGCGAAGGCGGCUUACUGGACAGUAACUGACGUUGAGGCUCGAAAAGCGUGGGGAGCAAACAGGAUUAGAUACCC